AAACCUUAGUGUGAAUGGUAGUGUGCAUGUGUCAUGUGUAGUCUUUAAAAUUCUCUUGCAAACCCAUCUUUGCAGCGGCCUCUCGUCACACAGAAGUGGAAGAGGGAGAAAGAGAGUUGGGUGGAGAGAUUUAUUUAUUUAUUUAUUUUUUUGGGGUUUGAUUGAAGUUUUGGCUCUAACCAUUAUCAAAGGGUCAACCAACAUUAUGUUUCCUCAGUCUUCAGGUUUAUUUGUUGGGAAGAGCGAAAAAACUCACGGGAAUGGGUGGAAUAGGGGAAAGAAAAAUAGCGCAAGGCACACGUGCCACCAGUGGUAAGCUCUUUGAGCAAGGAUUACCACCCGUUGUGCGUAUUCCGGAGCAUAGCACAAAAUUAUGGUUUCAACUGAAAUUUUCAGCUCAGUUUCCGAUGCCCUUAUUGUGGAAUAUCUUGUUCCCGUAUGUGCCGAUGCGGCCUCUUCCUCCGCCAUUGCAGUUCCUGCCUCCGCCACCUUUAGGCUUAAUCAAGUAAUAUAUAUAUAUGAAAUGCUGUUAUUUUCUAUGUUCAGUAUAAUAUUAUGUUAGCAUAUAUAUUUAUAUAUAUAUAUAAAAUUCUUGUAUAUUAUUUGUAUAUGUAGUAAACAGUAAGCCUUGCAAUACAGCUUGUCAAAUAGAGGUUCUUUGUCUCGACAUAGGAGAGGGGUAUUAUGCAACGGCUUGAAACCGAAUGGUGGUUUAGUGCUCUAAGGCUAUAAAAAUAUUACAACGUAUUACUUUUGGAGUGAAAUAAAAACAUGUGAUAUAAGUGGUGGACUUAUAAAUUGAGAGGAAAAGAUUUUGUUGUUAACCAACUUCUUCUUCGUUUUUCAUUUAUAUAAUAGAGUAAUGAUGCUUGCUGUAUUGAUUUGUUGCUUGAUUGGUUAUUCAUGCUUUGUAUAUAUAAGUUGAGGGUCCUAUUUUUUUUAUUUAUGUGAUUUAUCGUAAUGAAUUGUCCGAUUUAUUUUUUUUAAUCGGUC